CCUGGUUCAACUGGUUAAAAAUAUAGGUUAUUUUUACACAACAUGGGAGAUAGUGAGAACCAUUAUGUGGACAGGUAACAUCUGUCAUCUUGGGGUGGGGGACAACAGUGCUGAAAUGCCAAAGCCUUUCCCAAGCUGGGCCAAUUUACAAAGAGACACAUGGGGUCCUACCUUCCGAACAUCACAGGUGCACUCCCAGUAAGAGCAGGAAGGUAUCUGAGAGACUGUGUUCAGCCCCUCACUUAAUCCCUGAGGAAACGGGCUCACAGUCCCACAGUAUGUUGAGGGGUAAAGUUGCUACCAGAAUCCUGGUUUCCCCACUCCUCCAAUAUUCUCUUUGGUUUUUUGUUGUUUUUUUGAAGCAAGGUCUCACUCUAUUGCCCAGGCUGGAGUGUGAUGGCACAAUCACAGCUCACCGCACCCUUGACCUCCUGUGCUGAGGCAAUCCUCCCACCUCAGCCUCGCGAGUAGGUGGGACUACAGAUGCACACCACCACACAUGGCUAAUUUUUGUUUUGUUUUUGUUUUGUAGAGAUGAGGUUUCGCCAUGUCGCUCAGGCUGGUCUCGAACUCCUGGGCUCAAGCGAUCUGCCCACCUCAGCCCCCGCAAAGUGCUGGAAUUACAGGUGUGAUACACUAUUUUUAAUCCAUAAAAGGUGAGGCUCUUCCCAAAUCAAUACAGUAGGUGCCAGUGUGGGCACAGAAGGGAACAGAGAAAAGGGGGACUGUUACCAUGUCAACUGCCUUGUUUUUCCUCCAGGCAUCCAGCUAUGGAAUGGGCAGGUACAAACUCAGAUCAGUGGCCUGGCCUUUUUUGGAUAUGUGUGGCUAUUUCAGAAAAGGAUGACCCACUCUCCUGCCUCAGGGACUAGGCCAGCCCCACCCUCCCUGGGCUUGCUCAUCUCCUCCCACUAACUUCUCUUCUGCCUCCAUGGCCAACACCCCCACCUCUUUCAGCCUUGCCUCCAGACCAGCCUCCUCCUUCCCCACAGGAACUGUCACAGACCACCAUCCAUUCAACUGGCCAAGAGAGCAAACCUGAGUUUGCUGUCUCAAGAGGCUUCAGCUUGGAGCUGGUAGAUUUCAUCUAUCCAAAUCUCAAUCACCCUUCAGAACUCAGCUCGAAUUAUAUUUCUUCCCCCAAGAAGCCUCUCAUACCCUCAUGUGUUAGAAAUUUUGGAUUACUCCACCCCCUCUAGUGCUCUUAAGCAACCAUUAACACCCAACAUGUCAGGAACAAGUUUUAGUCCAAAACUACAGUGUGUAACAUACAAGUCCUCUUCCCAGGGACCCAACAGCAUCUAUGCUUUUCUUCACCUCUGACUCUCCUCCCCAGAGUCCAGGAAAUCUCCACCUGGUAUUCAGAGUCAGCCAGUUCUUCUGUCACCAUGCAUUCUUCCAAAUCUUUUUUCCUUACAUUUGGGCUUAAAUUUUUGUCAUUCAAAAGCCCAGAUAGGACUCUCCUCUCCCCUAUUUUCUGUCAUGCCAUCACUUGUGGAAGAAAGCAAGCACCAAGUACCCAAGUUGAGGGAAAGGAAGGAAUGGCAAGAGGUCCAAAGAAAUGAAGAUUUUCAAAAGUAAAGGGAAAUGCAAAGCUCAGUGAUUAUCUCAAAUUAAAUAUCCUGUCACACAAACAUUUAUUGAUUGCCUCUUCUGUGCCAGGUACUCUGCCAGGCAUUUUUGUUUCUGGUCUCCCAUUUGAACUCAGGGCAACCCUGUCUGUUUUGGAGGAAAAAAUAGACUGGGUGGGCAGAUGACUUCCUCAGAGUCACACAAUCAGUAGCCCCACAUGCGGUCUGCCCUCUGCCUCAGACAGGCUGUAAGAGCCUCAAGACUGGGGCUGUAAGUUCAUCCACACACCGGGAGAUAAGGUGAAGUGGUUCAACAUGAGAAGUGAGCAAAUUCAGAUCCCUUAUUUUGCAGAUAGAGAAACUGAGGCCAGAAAACUGAAGUGACUUCCCAGUGUCUCCUGACCAAAAGAAAAAUAAGCAUUAAAUGAAGAGAAAGGAAAUAAUGAAGUGGAAAGGAUAGUUGACCUCAAAUAGAAACAUGGAUGCUAGUCCCGGUUCUGCCACCAAUCAAGACAACCCACCUCUCUGGGGCUCAGUGUCAUCUGUAAAAUAAGGCCUGGAAGAAAUACAGCAAAUCAUGGUGUCAACAGAUUCUCCGUGACAGCUGGCAAUGAAAAACCAAGAGAGGGCACGUAAAAUGGUCUUCCUAUGUACCUAGUCCCACAGUAUGCAUACAAAAGGAUGUCUGCAUGUGGAUCUGGCCUGUGUCUGCAUGCACAGACCUGUGUAUGGAUAAACACAAGAUAGAUGUGCGUGCUUUGCCCAUUUUUAGAAGGCGAACAGAAGACAUGUGCAAGGACACACGUAUACUCUGGCAACUUCCUUUUUACUAAUGUACCUCCACAGAAAGCAAAAUGGGCCUCUCUCCACGUGACAAAAACAUUCCAUUCUAGUUUACAGUGACAAGGGUUUCUGCUACAGCUUAGAUCGCUUUUUCAGAUGAGAUGAUUUUCUUCCUCUCUGGCUUGCCUCAUCCUCUUCAGGUAAGCCUUGUUUUGCUUUUAAAAACAAAAUUAAAGUUUCCUCCACAGCAGAGCAUUUAAGGGUCAGCCAGGAAAAGGUCUGUGGGACACAGAAUCUGAAAGGAAGAAGGAAGAGGCCCCAGGGAAGGAGCGAAAAGUCUGGAAAAAGAACCAUCAGCUUUCCUGAGUUCCCUCAGCAAAAUACCAGUUUCAUCCUCCCAAUUACUCAUUAGUUCAUUAUUAGUUUACGUGAAAAGAAAAGAGGUGGCUUUGUGCUCUCUUGAGUCAUGGCUCCAGCUGAAAUAAAAAAGAAAAGGGAGAGUGUCUGUCCUUGAGGCUGCACAUAUUUUGCCCUUCCUUGAUCCUCUGAUGAUAAUUUGAGGACUUCCCCUGAUCCCAGUAGUAUUGUCUAACUUUGCUGGGGGUCUAUUCCAUCCGAAAAUAAACACUGCAGUCAGCUCCACAGCAGUGUGCCAGGAGGAACCUUGGAGGCAAAUAUGUUUACCAAAGACUAAUGACACCAAAGGACUCCAUUUUAGCCCCAGCAGCAGAUCCUCAUGCCGUUCCUUUCUUCCUCACAUAUAUCCCAUCGAUCUGAUUAUCCAAAUGAGUAUCAGCUACAGAGCCUUAUUGCUCCUCUUGGCAAAGUUCCUCCCUUCCUCCAUCUCAUCCUUUCCUCUAGAUUUGGUAUAUGCCCAACCCUAAGCAUACAGCUAACAUGUGUGCUUACAUACCAUACACAUAAACUAGUGCACAGUCUUGCUACAUGCCUAUCCACAAACACACCACUCGAGUAUACACAAAAACACAUAAUUUCUGCUAACACAAACAUUAGUACAUGUCCUUCUCACCACAGUGAGCACAUGUGCACAACACACACAGCCAACCCCUUCGAAGAAGACUAGGUAACUUGGACUUAGGAGAGAGGCCUGUCCCCGACCCCUACAGCCCCAGAGAACUAGAGAAAAAUCAAUGGAUCCCAGCCUGCUCUGAAGGGACUAGAAACAUUUCUACAGAAAUAAUUUUUUGACACAGAAAUCAUCCAGAACAGGAUGGGCGCAGUGGCUCACGCCUGUAAUCCCAGCACUUUGGGAGGCCGAGGCGGGUAGAUCACCUGAGGUCAAGAGUUCGAGACCAGCCUUGCCAACAUGGAGAAACCCCAUCUCUACUAAAAAUACAAAAAUUAGCCGGGCGCAGUGGUUCAUGCCUGUAAUCCCAGCACUUUGGGAGGCCGAGGUGAGAGGAUCACCUGAGGUCAGGAGUUCGAGAUCAGCCUGACCAACCUGGAGAAACCCCAUCUCUACUAAAAAUACAAAAUUAGCCGAACCUGGUAGCACAUGCCUGUAAUCCUAGCUACUCGGGAGGCUAAGGCAGGAGAUUCGCUUGAACCUGGGAGGCAAAGGUUGCAGUGAGCCAAGAUCGCGCCAUUGCACUCCAGCCUGGGCAACAGAGCAAAACUCCAUCUCAAAAAAAACAAGACAAACAAACAAACAAAAAAUUAGCUGGUGUGGUGGCAUGCACCUGUAAUCCCAGCUACUUGGGAAGCUGAAGCAGGAGACUCCCUUGAACCCAGGAGGCGGAGGUUGCAGUAAGCUGAGAUCCCACCACUGCACUCCAGCCUAAGCGACAAAAGUGAAACUCCAUCUCAAAAAAAAAAAAAAUCAUCCAGAACAGUGUAGCCCACCCGAGCAUCCAAAGACUCCUCUCAGCUCAUCAUCCCACAUUGUCUACAGGAGCCUCUCAGACAGUCUGUGGGAGGAAUGGACUGAACUCCUUGACGCUCAAGUCAGGUCUAAGCAGCAGGUCAGCAUCCCCUGGGAACUUGUUAGAAACUCAGUCUCAGGCCCAACCCCAGACCUACAGAAUUAGACACUGCAUUUUCACAAGUUCCCCGGGGAUGUGUGUGCACGCUCAAGUUUGGAAAGCACCCCUUAGAGCCCACCCAUCCCAUACUCAAGACAUGCCCAGCUGAGGUCACCCUGUCCUCACCAACUCUAAAAUUCCAAGCUCUCCAGCUCGGGCUGAAGCAGAGAGAAGAGGAUGCAGGAGCAUUCCUCCACCCUCAGAUCCGCUGCCUCCUCUCUCACCAGCGGCAACUGGAGUUAACAACGGAGCCUCAGGUGUCCAGAACUCGCCUGCAUCUAAACCCACCAGGAGCUCAGUGAUACUAACAGUUUGCUCCCCGCUAAUUGUCUCAUCACUCUACAACUGCUGCUUUUUAUUUCAUUAUGCUUCUCAUCAGUCUCAGAUAGGAAUAUAACCGAAAAAGAAAUUGGAGUGGAACAAUUUCAAUAUCUCAAAACACAUGCAAAUCAACGCCCAGAAUCCUACCUGGAAUGUUUUUAUUGAGACAAUUCUGUACUUGUCUGAGAGAUGACCUUAUAAUAAAUAAAUUCAUAUCUUGCAAAGGUAGAUGUUCUCCCCACCUUAUAAAGCUAAUUAUACCAGCACAACAUAACAUUUUCCUAAAUGCCUGAUAACCUCAUCCUGUUACUCAGGAAAUAUUAUUUUUAAAUAGGUGUGAUAGAUACAAACUGAAACACUCAGAUUUCAAUUCCAGCCCCAAUUCCCGGAUCCCCUCUCUGAGUAAUUUAAGGACUUCCUCCAGAUAGUUUUUCAUAUUCUUUUAACUGACAUUUUAUCUUUAUACAGUAUCUCACAGAAUGAGCACGCACUAAGACAAUGACAGCCAAGAAGGCCUGUCAUUUCUCAUUCCGACAAAGACAGAUGUCUUACACUGGCUUAUGCCAAUAAUAGAUCCAACAAAAAACAAAAGAGACUACACCUGCCGCUGAUGUAAAGGCACCAAUUCACAUUUGUGACACUCAUUUGUCAAUUAACAGAUUUCUUCCAUUGUUGACACACGAGACUUAAAAGAUGUGGGCUCGAAUGUGAUGAAUUAAAAAAGACAGAUGAGUAAGCUAUGAGCUGCAAAGUAAUGCUAUAAUGUGCUUUAGAUAUGAAUAUCAACUGACACCCCUGACAGGCCAUACAAGGUUUUAUUUCAUUUUGCACUGUAUCCAGGCUUCAUACUUUGUCUUCUUUGUUCGCUUUUCAUCAAGCUCCUAACAUCUCAUUCUGACAGCCAAAGACAUUUAAGGCACUUUCGUUUCAAAUGCAAGUUAGCGUACUUGAUUUGUCAUUAAAAUGCAAAACGAUUGCCAUUGCAGGUAAAUGUAGGUAUGCUUAAAAGGUUGGAUCUGCAAAGGAAAAGCUGAAAAUGGUUUGAGUUGCUUGCUCUGCCUCCUUCACUAGCCUGGCCGCCACCUCAUAGGGCUCUGGCCAAUGCCCCCUUCGACAAAGACCUACCCAGAGUGAGCCUUAGGAGUUCCCUGUCCCAGCAGCGGCCUCAGAAGUGAGCCAGCCUUGAGUGAAAAACAGCUUUCCCCUCCCCACGAGGUGUUCUGCAGAUCUGCAAGUUUUCCUGUGUUUGGACCAGUGUAAGCAUACACAAGCAUUCCCCUGUGGAGAGGAAACACGGACAGGCUUGUAUCAAGAUGCUCAAGAUUAUUUUUCUCAUUGAGCUCCCAUCCUCCAUCUCCUAUAGAGAAGGAGAAAACUCCAACCCUUAGACUCUCCCUAGGAGAGAUGGAGGAAGAAUCCAAUAGGGGUGAUGGGAUUCAGGACAGGCUACCCCCAAAGUACCUUGGCAUUUGAGAAAACAGCAGAAGCAGGCAGGUCUCUCUCACCUUCCACUGCCCUUCUCCCCUAAGUAGGCCAUGAAACCUAGGAAGAUCAUUCUCUGAUUUUUUCCUGCCUUCCACCUCUGAAAAAAGAAGACCUUCAUUAAAGAGGAGCCCUCUCUAUACCCAAAGGAAAAAAAACCCUUAUCUUUGAAGAUCCAGGGACACAGAGAAGAAACUGGACAAAUAGGCCUUGCUAAGUUGCUUCCAUAUCAACAGAUCAUGCUUUCUUUUCCAAUCACACUUCUCGACAAUGAGCCACUUCUCCA
rnacentral:lncRNA from 1 species